GGGUGCGUGGUGUAACGGUUUGAAAAUUGGACUAUGACUCUAGAGACCAAUGUUCAAAUCCUGGCUCAGUCA